AUGAUUCCAAAAACUUUAUGUGAUGUACUAGGUUUCUGUGAAUUUGAUGAUUCUUCUUUAAAUUUGCAUCUAGCGGAUUUCACUAUUAAGAAACCUAUGGUAAGUAUUAGUGAUGUUCUUAUUGUUGAGAAUAGGAAUUAUGUGCCCAUAAAUUUUAUUGUGCUUGACAUAGAUUGCAAUCCUACAUGUCCUAUUAUUCUUGGUAGACCUUUCCUUAGAACGAAUGGUGAAAUUAUUGAUAUGAAAGAAGGAAAUACUAUAUUUCAAUUUCCGUUAAGGAAGAGCAUGGAACACUUUCUAAGAAAUAAAAUUAAGUUGCCAUAUGAAUCUAUUAUGAGGGCUACUUAUGGUUUGCAUACCAAAAAUGACAAUACCUAG
rnacentral:rRNA from 1 species